rnacentral:rRNA from 1 species
CCUACGGGAGACAGCAGUGGGGAAUAUUGCACAAUGGGGGAAACCCUGAUGCAGCGACGCCGCGUGGGUGACGAAGUAUUUCGGUAUGUAAAGCCCUAUCAGCAGGGAAGAAGAUGACAGUACCUGACCAAGAAGCCCCGGCUAACUACGUGCCAGCAGCCGCGGUAAUACGUAGGGGGCAAGCGUUAUCCGGAUUUACUGGGUGUAAAGGGAGCGUAGGUGGCAUGGCAAGCCAGAAGUGAAAACCCGGGGCUUAACCCCGCGGAUUGCUUUUGGAACCGUCAGGCUGGAGUGCAGGAGGGGCAGGCGGAAUUCCUGGUGUAGCGGUGAAAUGCGUAGAUAUCAGGAGGAACACCGGUGGCGAAGGCGGCCUGCUGGACUGUAACUGACACUGAGGCUCGAAAGCGUGGGGAGCAAACAGGAUUAGAUACCCUGGUAGUC